CCGCGACCCGCAGGGGGCGGGCAGGGCAGCUGGCUUCCGGCUGCCCCCCGGCGUGGGGGUGGGGGUCGCGGGUCCGCAGGAGAGGACCCUGAGCUCCCCCGAGCCGGGAGCGUCCUGAGCCGGCCGGCCGAGCCUGACGGGUCGCCCUUUAUCGAGACGCCAGUCGGGCACGUUGGCUGCACGAAGAGCGCUACCAAGUGCCCCAGCAUUUUGAGCGGGGUCUCUCUUGCCUUUCCCUGAACAAACCUUCCUCCGCCAGAGGAUGUCCGGGGCGCCAAAAGAGCCGGUGGGGGAGCGGAAAGCGCCUUGGAGCGGGAAGAGUAGAGAAUGCAUUCCUUCCGAUUUGCUGGCUCUGUGAUCUUGGAUCCCUUCCUUGGGCUUCUGCUCUACUCUGUAUUGCCUUGCAGGGUGCAGUUUCUCAGGCUUCCAGGACAGCUGCCUUUCAGGCUUGGGUUUGGCCAAUGGAGACAGUGGCAGGAGACUGGAAGUUAGGAGGGAUUGAACCCGGGCCCUGGGCCCCCCCCCGGAAUCCUAACCACUAGGCCACCAGGGAGUUCCCGAUUGAUGCUUCUUUACCAAAAAUACAACUCUAGCCCUCCGUGAAUCCUCCUGCCUCUAGAACCAUGGAACACCUAAUCCCUCUGCAGAACCAUGGAACAAAGGCCCAGAUUUAAGGAGAUACACACAAGGGUGUCCCCAGGAUGCACACUCCUUACUGCUUCAAGUUAAAUAAACCUGACUUUUUUUGA